AGCGAACGCUGGCGGCAGGCCUAACACAUGCAAGUCGAACGAAGUCUUCGGACUUAGUGGCGGACGGGUGAGUAACACGUGGGAACGUGUCUUUAGGUUCGGAAUAACUCAGGGACACUUGUGCUAAUACAGAAUGUGACCUUCGGGGGAAAGAUUUAUCGCCUUUAGAGCGGCCCGAGUCUGAUUAGCUAGUUGGUGAGGUAAAGGCUCACCAAGGCGACGGUCGGUAGCUGGUCUGAGAGGAUGAUCAGCCACAUUGGGACUGAGACACGGCCCAAACUCCUACGGUAGGCAGCAGUGGGGAAUCUUGCGCAAUGGGCGAAAGCCUGACGCAGCCAUGCCGCGUGAAUGAUGAAGGUCUUAGGAUUGUAAAAUUCUUUCACCGGGGACGAUAGUGACGGUACCCGGAGAAGAAGCCCCGGCUAACUUCGUGCCAGCCGCCGCCGUAA
rnacentral:rRNA from 1 species